AUACGCUGUUAGGAAGAAGAUAUGAUGUUAUAAAUAUUCUUGUAAUUUAAAGCUUAAAGUUUUUUUCAACAUUAAUAUUAAAGGUUAAAUAGCAUUUAAAUGGUGGUUAAUAGUAAAUUGGAAUAGUUUUAUUGACUUUUGUUAAGAAAGGAAUCCCGGGGCUUCCCUGGCAGUCCAGUGGUGAAGACUACGCUUUCACUGCAGGGGGUGCAGGUUUGAUCCCUGGUCGGGGAAGUUCUACAUGCCAUGAGGUACAGCCAAAGAAAGAAAUUUAAAAACGAAAGGAAUCCCUAAUUUGUUUGUUCUCAAAUAUGGGUAGAAAUGCCAUAUAAAGGAACUAUAUAAAAGCAUCUGUAAACUAAAAAGUCACUUUAACACUAAUAGGAGAAAAUGAUGACCCUUGAAUAGAACCAAUGCUGGCCCAUAACAUGCCUUUGAUGGUCUGGGAAAGGACAUCCUUUUCUCUGGGCAGAGGAGGCUUCAUGUGGCCCACAGGGCUUGGGGAGCAGAGUGAGCACUGGAUUCUGGUUCCCCCCACCUCAGCCAGGCUCCUUGUGCCCUGCAUACACAUUACAGGCACAGUGGAUAGUGCUAUCAGUCACUGGAACAGCCAAGAUGUAACUGCCUUAAUGAAUUCACCUGUAGUUAGUUCAUACAAGGGUGCAAAUUAUUACAUAAUUUUAAAAGAUGUGCCCAUUCAAAUCAUCAUUCCUAAAGCAAUCUCAUUUUGACAUAGUACUCAUUACAGGGAAAAGACUGAGAAUUUUUACCAUAGAAACAGCUGGGGUGCACAGAAGCUUUGAGACAGAUCUGAAAUAUGCUUGGGUUUGGGUAUCAAAUAUACAGCCUGCCUUGUAAAACUUAGCAUCAGGGUGAUGUGAAGCAGCUCAGAGAUGUGGGGAGCACUGCAGAGGUUUAGGAAAGAAAAUACUCAGGUGCUCAGUAAAAUUGAUGGCCAAAAGUCUGAACCUAUGGUUAGCAAAGCAAAAUUGGAUCUGAAAGUAUAUUUUGAUUUAUUGAUUUUAGGUGAAGCUCUGCUACCUGUCCUUUUAUUUUGGAUUGAAAAGUAUGUGGUCCCCUUAAUCUUUUUUAUUUCUUGGUUCUGGGAGUUAUCCUUCUUUAAGGAGCAGGGCCUAUGGAAUUUUAAAAGUUCCCAUUCUCAUAGGUAAUGAAAUUCACAAAAUUGUACAUGUUGUGUUCCUGAUGACCAUAAUGAAACCUCACCCUGGGAAUCCAUUUAAAAAGGAGGUACUACAGUGUUCAUCAGUUACCUGGACAUGUCUAGUCAUAGAAAGCAAAUUUUCACAAACCAUUCUUUCCCAAAGAUGAAUCUGUAACCCAUAACUGAUAAAGGAGAAUUAGGCCUUUUGAGAACUGGACACAUCACUCUAGUCUUCAGUGAAGCUAUACUGUGCAGAGAAAGAAGAGCAGUCAGGCGUAUGGCAGAGGCAAGACCCACAGUGAAAAACACAAAAGGUUUUGUGCUCUAACCUCUACUUGCCCAUUCUGCUGCCCUUCUGACUGCUCAUUUCCCAAAAGGCCAGGUCCACUUAUUUCCCAUAUUUGGGCAGCAGUCCAGUUGCCAGACUACUACUGCUCUCAAAAUUUGCCAGUCCCUGGCCUUCUGCAAGGUGAUCAUGCAAGCACUGGAUCACUGUUACCAUCUUCAUGAUUUUAUUAGCGACCAUAUUCCCAGUGUCUUUCUGCAGGUCACUAAGGGCUUCUCUGACAGUCACCUAAUCCAGGCGAUGACUCCAACCUUGAGACCUCCAGGUUGCAGAUGCCUGUGACAGGCUCUAAAUUACAGGUGAGCAGGUGGUGACUUACUCCACAAACUCCAGCCUUGUAUGUGGCUAGGGCCCAGAAGAGUUACGAAAUUUACUUUACUCUUAGUCUUUUUUUAAAAAAAAAAAAAACCAAAAUGUCAUAUGAGUUCUCCCUCCCUCAUACAUAGAAUGUUACAGACCAUAAAGUCUGGUAUUCACAAAAAAAUUAAUAGUCCCUUGGGGUGCUUGGCAAAAACAUGCUUUAUUCCUCUCAGAAACUAAGCAUGCAUAUAGGCAUGUUAAGGCUUUUCAGAAGUCCUGUUGUAAAGAGACCUAUUUAACUUUGCCUUAAUCCAGCAUUCUGCAGAAUUAUUUGACCAUGUAACAUUUCCCCAGCAGUAACACUUAAUUGAUAUCCCAUGGAACUACAGCUCCUUAUAACACACUUUGGAAAUGUUAAUCCAGUUCAGUGAGCACAUGUUAAAGAUGAAGAAACUAAGACCCAGAGAAGGUAAUAAAAAUGGGAAACUGUUAAACACACAUCCAUCUUCAGCACAGUACUAUUCCUAAGUCCAGGAAGAAGCUUUCAAAACGAGCCUGGCCAUUCGCGAACCUUUCUCCAGACAGACUCUCCUCAGCCCCAGCCCCGGCUACUAAGAAAGGUGAUUUUGGAACAGGGAAACGUAGUGUCUGGUCAGGAGCUGUAACACGUCUCAUCUUGGUGUCAGGGCCAGAGGAGAAGGGAGAUGACAACUCACCAGGAGAAACAGAGGACUGAUGGCUACCCAGCAGAUCUUCCAGAACCAUCCAGGGCUGAAACCAAGCAUUUCCUUCACAUCACUGCAGAACUGAUUGAUGCCUACAGUCAUCCAAAAGAGGAGGCGAUUGACUAAGAGAGGAAACAGACUGUCCUCCUAGCCCCUAACUCAGAGAGAGCAGCAACUCUGGAAUUUCUCCAUAGGAAGGGUUCAGGGACACCAGUCUGGCCUGAAGGUAGGAUGGCGAACAUGUCACAAAAAUGCUUGUUAUAGCAAGCAAAGCUCUUUCUACAGAGAGUGAGAGGACUGGUGGACAUUUGGGGAGGGACCUAAAGCCUCGUCUUGGUGCCCACACCACCCUUCUAGGAUUUCACCAUAUAUCUGAUUUUAUCCUUACUGUAGAAAAGGAAGUUGAACUUUGUCUAAAAAUGUUGAACCCACUUGAUAGAGACUGACUCUGACCAUAUGCUAGAAACUUUCAAGAGAAAAUUCUAACCACACUAUUGCUCAUUCAUAUUGUCAGAUCAAGAUCAAGGUUCUUCUUUACAAAAUAACCGGCAGGAAAGUGAGAAGUGGGAACUCUGACUGGGGAGAGAUGGAGAAGGGGAAGGAAGAGCGCUCUGUGGGUGCUUCCCUGAAAGUGCCCACAGGUCUGUAGCAUCACAGACUUUGAACUUGGUUCUCUGAAGUGCUGAGGGGGUGGGGGGAACUUCUUUCAAACACACAAAAAAGUCCCCAAACCAGGCCCACGUAUAACUCAAAACAUGGGACCCCGCCUUCUUCAUGUUACGUGUAAUGAUGUACAUGCUAAAGCUGUUGUGCUAUCAUAGAAACUGGGAAAAUAAAUAUAUUCAGAAUGAAAUAAUCACUUUCUGAUUUUAAAGAUCUCUGAACUUGGUUUUCUUCAUUUCCACUUCUGUGCCCUCCUGAUCCUUGCCCAUGGGCUCUUGGGAUCCCUGCCCAGGGACCCAUGUCAGCUUACUCUGCACUCCUGGGGGUUUCACCCUUAUCAGAUUCCAUCCCACAGCUGGGGCAAGGGGAAUAAACUGGAGGUUUUACCAAGACAGAUAAUCCAAACAGAAACAUUCUGGCCUCUUGCCUGGAAGAUAAGCUCCUAAACUGUGUCUGUCAGAUCUUAAGCAACCACUAUGGAUAAGCUAUAGGGAACCACUUCAGCCUGUCCACUGAGUAAACAUUUACUCGGAAAAGUCUUCCCAGGAGCUUAGGCAAUCUGUUGUACAGUCUGGAGGAAAUGAUGACCUGUUUCUGAAGAAGGCAUGCAGGAGGUGACGUCUUGUACACUGGCCUGCCUUUCUCUGACAAAUCCAGCCCUUGUGUAUUCUGGUGCCUACACAGGCUGGUGUAGGAAGGAUAUGGUGGAAGGAAGCAUCUUACCGUAGAACCAAAACACAGCAACAGCUUCAAUCAGGGCCACAGUGAGCACUGCAGGUCCCGUGGCGAACUCCUCCAACAGCUUCACCACGUAGGCCCCACCCUGGAAACGAGACCACCAACUUGGUUCAAGGCCCGCUGAGGCACUGCCUCCUCUUUUCAACAGAGACAAAAAGAACUUCUUAGGAUAACCCUGCAAAGUUCUCACCUUGGAUCGAAUACAAAUACCCCAGAGCCUGCCUCUUAGACUGGCUUUGGCAGGGUAGGCAAGAUCUCAUCCUAUCAGACUCCUCUUCCAGCCCUACCGGUCACUCUCUUGUCCGCACCCCUCCCCCCCCCCCGCCCAAAGCUUUAAAGACAAACUGAAAAACGCCUCUUGAUCUACUUUCUUCAGUUUACCAAACACCUACUGUGUACUCUACCCUGGAGAAUCCUGGUCCCUAAAGACUGAAUCUGGGAAACUUACAACACCGGACACUGGGCCCAGUGGUCAUGGUUUUGCCUCUGUCCUGAAUCACAAACCCCAUGGAUCCUACACAGGUCCCCAAAGCCCUGCUGAAGCUCCAGAGCCAUUUGGGUCAUGGCCUAAAGGUAAGUUGAUUUACAAAAUCCGCCUUGAGUCAGGAGGAUACAAGCCUGCCAUGCCUGUGGGUACUGUCUGAUGUACAGUUUUAUAGUGUUUACCUCAGCUCCCCUCCCCCUCAAAAAGAAAUCACUGGAGAAGGUCUGACUUCAUCACCAUUGCAACUUCUCUGGAGGAGACAACGUGACAAACCCAAGGUGCCAGCCUCCAGAUAUUUUGGGCAGUAUUCCCAAGAAAGCAGCCGUAAGGACUGGAAAUAGACUGAAAAGGCAAGUCUUAGUACUUUCUCCAGAUAGAAAUCUAGUUGGACUUGCUGUAAAAUGCUGAACCUCCAGCUCCAUGCCCAAAUUCUAGAGACAGAUACCGCCAAAAACAACUUUUCUCCUUCUCCGUGAUGACUAACUUCUUAACAGCUGUAACAGCCUCUCCCUCUUUGGUCCUAAAGCCAGGGCUCCCUGUGGGCUGGAAAGAAAGAGCUUCGUGCAGUGUCCCAAUGCCCAAUGAAAAGCUGACUCUCAGUUGGGGGUUGUACUCACGAAAGU